AUGAGUCGACCUGAUGGUAUCAACAUCCCCGACGGCAAGUUCUACCUUGGAGAUGCUGGUUGUGCAUGUCGGUCGGGUAUUCUUCCACCCUUCAGGAAAACCAGGUACCAUCUCAACGAGUUCUCUGGUAGGAACUAUCCUGGGACUGCACAGGAGCUGUAUAAUCUCAGACACUCCAGCCUUAGAGUAACUGUUGAGAGGGCAUUCGGAGCUGUGAAGAAUAGGUUUAAGAUCCUGGAUCAGAAGCCAUUCCACCCAUACCCCACUCAGGUUAAGCUUGUUCUUGCUUGUUGCAUUCUGCAUAACUGGAUCCUCCAGUGGGGCUUUGAUGAACACGUGCCUGAGGAGGAAGAGGUCGAGCCUGACGAUGUUGUUAGCUCCGGCCAUGGUGUGGAGGCAUUUGACAAUGACGCUUGGAAGAACAAAAGGUUGGAGUGGGCAGAGGCUAUGUGGCUUAACAUUCAGUGCGGGAUUUGA
rnacentral:rRNA from 1 species